CAAACCCAACACUUUCAUUUUAACACUUCGCGCAUAAAUAUUUUUCUCGAGGUGAACACCAAUCAGAUUAUUGUAUAAUUCAUAAGUCAAAACACAAGUAAUACCACAUCAAAUAUUGACCACACACUUAUUCACAACCAUAUAUCAUGUUCACAAUUUAACAUCUUCCAACAUCGCAAUCCACCAUCACAUGUUUACAUGUAUCUCAC
rnacentral:lncRNA from 1 species